rnacentral:rRNA from 1 species
UUUAAGACUCUCGGCAACGGAUAUCUCGGCUCUUACAUCGAUGAAGAACGUAACGAAAUGCGAUACUUGGUGUGAAUUGCAGAAUCCCGUGAACCAUCGAGUCUUUGAACGCAAGUUGCGCCCGAGGCCUUUGGGUCGAGGGCACGCCUGCCUGGGCGUCACGC